rnacentral:rRNA from 1 species
UACGGGGGGGGCAAGCGUUGUUCGGAAUUACUGGGCGUAAAGGCUUGUAGGUGGCCAACUAAGUCAGACGUGAAAUCCCCUCGGCUUAACCGGGGAACUGCGUCUGAUACUGGAUGGCUAGAGUGUGGGAGAGGGAUGCGGAAUUCCAGGUGUAGCGGUGAAAUGCGUAGAUAUCUGGAGGAACACCGGUGGCGAAGGCGGCAUCCUGGACCAGCGACUGACACUGAAAAGCGAAAGCCAGGGGAGCAAACGGG